GCAAGUCGAACGGUAACAGAUUUCUUCGGAGAUGCUGACGAGUGGCGCACGGGUGAGUAACGCGUACACAACCUACCUAUCACAGGAGAAUAGCCUUGGGAAACUGAGAAUAAUACUCCAUAGUUUUUGCGAAUCGCAUGAUUUGCUUAAUAAAGUUCCGGCGGUGAUAGAUGGGUGUGCGUACCAUUAGAUAGUUGGUGAGGUAACGGCUCACCAAGUCUGCGAUGGUUAGGGGGCGUGAGAGCGUGGAC
rnacentral:rRNA from 1 species